rnacentral:rRNA from 1 species
AGUGGCGGACGGGUGAGUAACACGUAAGAAUUUGCCUUUAGGAGGGGGACAACAACUAGAAAUGGUUGCUAAUACCCCAUAUGCUUUCGAGUGAAAUGGAUUUUUCCGCCUAGAGAGAAGCUUGCGGCUGAUUAGCUUGUUGGUGAGGUAAUGGCUCACCAAGGCGACGAUCAGUAUCUGGUUUGAGAGGACGAUCAGACACACUGGAACUGAGACACGGUCCAGACUCCUACGGGAGGCAGCAGUGGGGAAUUUUCCGCAAUGGGCGAAAGCCUGACGGAGCAAUCUCGCGUGAGGGAUGACUGCCUAUGGGUUGUAAACCUCUUUUUUCAGGGAGGAAUCAAUGACGUGUACCUGAAGAAUAAGCAUCGGCUAACUCCGUGCCAGCAGCCGCGGUAAGACGGGGGAUGCAAGUGUUAUCCGGAAUCACUGGGCGUAAAGCGUCUGUAGGUGGUCCAAUAAGUCAACUGUUAAAUCUUGAGGCUCAACCUCAAAAUCGCAGUCGAAACUAUUAGACUAGAGUAUAGUAGGGGUAAAGGGAAUUUCCAGUGGAGCUGUGAAAUGCGUAGAGAUUGGAAAGAACACCGAUGGCGAAGGCACUUUACUGGGCUAUUACUAACACUCAGAGACGAAAGCUAGGGUAGCAAAUGGGAUUAGAUACCCCAGUAGUCCUAGCCGUAAACAAUGGAUACUAGAUGUU